AUACCCAAGUCCUUAGCUUGUGUUGUUGCUUUAUUCUUUAGCACCUUAGAUUUCAAAGGGACCACAGAAAGGAAAGAUAGGAUUGAGGAAAGAAAAAAGAAAAGGCAUGAGUGUGUUGUUAUAAGGGGGAAAUAUGAAGACAGAUGCAUUUGGGUGUGUGUUAAAAAUUCAUCUCCUUCAGAAACUGUCUGCUUUAGACCAAAACCUACUUAAGUUAUUCUGAAGACAGGAAACUGGGAAUUUCUGUGGAAAUGAACAAUGACAAAAUAAGCAAAGGGUUACCAAGACUGUAGAGGAGGUUUUGAGGAGAGGAUGAAAUUGACCAGUUUAUUUUUGUUAAUCAGGCACAAAAACAGCAUAAAUAAUGACUCUCCAUUUUUAAUAAACAGUCAUUUCACUAAGAA